UGGCUCAGUGGUAGAGUACUUGCCUUGCAAGCAUGAGGCCCUGGGUUCGAUUCCUCAG
rnacentral:tRNA from 1 species